UGCGACUGGUUUCCCAGGUUUCACUGGGUUUAAGGGAUCUCCUGGUGCACCAGGAACUAAUGGGGCUCUGGGUCGGCCUGGUCCGGUUGGACCUAAAGGUGAAGUGGGACCAAAGGGAGAGAAGGGAAGGAGAGGCAGAGGAAAGGCCUGUCAACGGGGACCUCCUGGAAUUCCUGGCCUCGGAGGCCUGGAUGUAAUAAGGCAUCUACACACAAAUAAUUGUAUCCUCCACUCAGUCAGGACUUAAUCUAUUCACAAACAUACUCAGUCUAAAGUUAUACAUAUCCUCUAUGCAGGGGGAAGUGGGAACCUCAGGCAUGAAAGGAGAAAAAGGGGAGACUGGACUCAGUGUGGAGGAAGUGAAGGAUCUUGUGACAAAGGAGGUGGUUGAGAAGUGUGGAAAGGAAAUACUCCUGAUGGUGAACACCAAUGAUCCAGAUGAAGAGAGUAUCCUAAGGGAAGAGAGAAGAACAGAUUCUGCCUCUCCGUUCUUGCUCACCCACCCCAAAGUGUGGGAUGAAGAGUCAGAGGACGAGACCACUUCAGUUCAUCCUGCUGUUUCAGAGUCUGAGCCAACAUUAGCAUAUGGC
rnacentral:lncRNA from 1 species